rnacentral:lncRNA from 1 species
GUCCCACAUGGCCCGCGGGUCUGCUGUUGCCCAAGCUGGUGCUGAUGGCUCGUGGCCGGGCAGGCUCACAUUCCUGCCUGGAGUAUAAUGAGUGCGUGUGUGAGUGUGCGCGUGCACGUGUGCAAUAAGUAAUACAGGGUAAUCCCCUUCCGAUGACAGAAGCUUCAAGUGGUUACAAGCAGCAGAGCUGCUUUCAGCUGCCUGAGGUAACUGUCUGUAAAGUGCAAGGCCAAAUACAGAAGAAAAGAAAUGAAGAAUUAAGAGAAACAUUCUCCAAGGUUGAAGAACUGUAUAAUUACGUCAUUAUUCAAUUUCCUGGUUAACAGGAAUCCCAGACAAAAUUUGGAUCUGAU